rnacentral:tRNA from 1 species
GGUGAGAUGCCUGAGAGGCCUAAAGGAACGGUUUGCUAAACCGUCGUGUAUUUUUUUUACACCGAGGGUUCGAAUCCCUCUCUCACCG